UGUCAGGGAACUGCCAUCGGAAGGAAGGGAGGUGAAAGGACUCAGACAGGUUGGAAGAGACUCAGCAGCUGAACAGGGAACCAGCAAGGGGAGAGAAGCUGAACUGAGGGAGGUGAAAGGGCUCAGACAGGUUGGAAGAGACUCAGCAGCUGAAGAGGAAACCAGCAGGGGGAGAGAAGCUGAACUGAGGGAAAGGGAGCUGGGGGGAUGGCUCAGAGAUACUUCCAGCGAAAACAGUGGUGAGGUUUCCGGACCUCCUGUAGGGACACCCACUCCUCGCCGGAAACUGUCACGCAGAGAGUCCAGAAGACGUGUUUCCGUUAAGGAGCUUUUAUGUUGGAAGCGAUUACGAAAGCAACCACUGUCGGAAUCUUCUAGUGACUAGAGGAGCCAUGUCAGAGGGGCUCCGUCACAGACAGAGGUUUGUGGACUUGAACAAACACUGAGGGAAUACGAUUUUACGCACAAGCAGCUCAUCUUCCCAUCACAGCAUUCCGACAGUCUUUGAACGCAGCUUGUGCAGGAGAAGGCAUAAUGAGCAACCCAGCAGGAACCGGAGAAGCAGGGGCUGGAGCGGGUCCAAGCCUGGAAGAAAGGUACCGGGUGUUGGAGGUCCAGCUGGCGCUGCAGACGGCGAGGCUGGAGGAGAGGAGGGCUCAAGAUGCAGACAAAAGGGAGAAAGCCACCCAGCUCGCCAGAAAGGUACCAGGAUUGGUGCAGAAAUUUGGGGGGGAGCCCAAAGACUAUCAUAGCUUUCGGACAGAAAUGCAAUAUGCCCUCAAUCUGCAGUUUGAUGAUUUCCCUGAUGAGGAAUCACGAGUGGCUUUUGUGAUUGGGCAUCUUGAAAAGGGGGCGAGAGACUGGGUUAGACCCCUGAUGGCAGCGCAUAGUGACGUCCUAAAGGACACGAUGAAGUUCUUUCGCGCCAUGGAUCUGAUGUUUUCCAGCGAUAUUGAAAAGGGAGUGGUGCGCAGACAGUUAAUGGCUUGCAAACAGGGGAGCCGAUCUGUACGUGAGUACUGGACUGAGUUCACCAUGCUGAUACACAGAUUGGGGUGGGACUUAUCGGCGGAACCCAUUCAAAUGCUCUUUGAAGAAGGGCUUUCUUCGGCUGUGAAAGAUGAACUUUCCCGGGCGCCCAGGGCGGAGUCUAUGGACCAGCUGACCAAAUCAGCGCUGGCCAUAGGAGCGCGCCAGGAGGCGAGAGCAUUGGAGAGGCGGGAAGGGAAAGGGGAACGUUGGAAGGAGUUCCGCAUUCCAGACAUUCCAGAGCCAACUUUCCCGCCGGCAGAGCCGAUGGAAAUCGGAACAGCGCGCGCGCGCAGUUUCAAAGCCCAGUGAGGGGGAAAAAGGAGGGAAAAGGCGCCCGGAAAUGCUAUCUCUGCCAACAGCCAGGGCACUUUGCCAGAGUCUGCCCCCAGAGGAAGGAAUGGCAAGGGAUGGUGGGAGCUGUGGAGGGAAGAGAGGAAAAAUACCGGAGCAACUAAAAGCCAACGCCUGGCUGCCAUUGUCGGGGCACAGCAGCCAGGCCAAAGAGCAGUGAAAGUGCCCACGCCAGAACCUCCUAAACCCGCCCUAGUGAUAGAAGUGACACUAGAGCUGCCAAACGGACACCCUCUAAAGAUAAAGGCGCUGUUGGACUCAGGCAGCUCCUGCAAUUUCAUGAGCAAAGAGUUUGCAGCUGAACACCAGAUACAGACGCUCCCUUUAAGCAACCCCUGCAGGUAACCACGAUCGAUGGCAGGGAGCUGUUGGGAGGAGAAGUCAGCUUGCAGACCGUCCCAAUGAUAAUGAAGGUGGCAAGGCACACCGAACUAAUAGCAUUUAAUGUGGCCACCUUGGGAGGAGCUCCCAUUAUAUUGGGGAUGAGCUGGCUAGCGUUACAUGAUCCGCUGGUGGGCUGGCAUCAAAGAGUGGUUUCUUUUGGGUCAGCACAUUGCUUAGAACACUGCAAAGAGGGAAAGGUUUUGGCAGGGGCCCAAGCCACCCUAGCAGGGACUGAAGUAACGGAGAACGUGAAGGUACCACGACAAUACGCAGAUCUCCGCGACGUCUUCAGCGAAAGGGAAGCUGACCAACUACCACCGCAUAGAGCCUUUGACUGUCAAAUCAAUUUGCUCCCUGGGGCACAGCUCCCUGUGGGCAAGCUGUACGCCAUGUCAGACAGAGAGAUGCAGGAGCUAAGAGAGUUCAUUGACAAGAACCUGAAGAGAGGGUUCAUCAGAGAGUCCAGGGCGGUGGGGGCAGCCCAGUGUUUUUGUGGACAAAAAAACACGAACAAGCCGAGACUGGUGUGUGACUUCAGGGCCUUAAAUGCAGUGUCAGAACCAGUGGCCUUCCCGAUGCCCAGGAUUGACGACAUUUUGACAAGGGUGCGGAAGGGAAAGAUUUUCACCAAGCUGGAUCUAAGGGGGGCGUACAACCUGAUACGAAUAAGGAAGGGGGAUGAAUGGAAAACCACCAUGUUCACCCCUUUAGGGGCAUUUGAAUACUUAGUUAUGCCCUUCGGUCUACAAGCAGGCUCCGCAACAUUUCAAUCGUUUAUGAACCACGUCCUGGGGCCGUUGCUUUACAAGAAUUGUGUGGCCUUCUUGGACGACGUGUUGGUGUAUUCUGAGAAUGAGGAGCAGCAUGUGAGAGACGUCAGAGAAGUGUUGAGCAGGCUGCAAGCCAACCAGCUGUGGGUGAAACUGGAGAAGUGUCAGUUUCAUACCAAGGAGGUGGAAUUCCUGGGGUAUCGCCUGUCUGACAAGGGGUUGGCCAUGGAUCCCGGCAAGGUCCAGGCGGUACUGGAAUGGAAAACACCCAAAACAAGGAAGGAUGUGCAGAGGUUUUUAGGAUUUGGGAACUUCUAUCGUAAGUUCAUCCCAAACUUUGCCCACCUGACGGCGCCCAUUACGGACUGUCUCAGCAGUAAGAAGAAGUUCGUUUGGACGGAGGAGGCGGAGCAAGCAUUUGAGGAACUAAAAGGGCCUUCGCCUCGGAACAACAGCUCCUGCAUGUGGAUUUACAAAAACCGAUGAGAGUGGAAACUGACGCAUCAGACAGAGCGGUUGGGGCGGUGCUUCUCCAGCCAGGGAAGGAGGAGUCAGAGUGGAGACCGUGUGCUUUUUUCGCGAAAGCUGAACAAAUCCGAGAGGAACUACACGGUGUAUGACCGAGAACUACUAGCCAUUCAUGAGGCGUUCCGGAGAUGGAGGCACCUGCUAAUUGGCGCACAACAUAAGGUGCAAGUGUGCACUGACCACAAGAACCUAGAGUAUUGGAGGACGGCACGAGUGCUCAACCAACGGCAAGUGAGGUGGGCCCAGGAAUUCUCCAAAUUUAACUUUGAGAUUUGUUACGUGCCAGGCCCAGAGAACAUUAGGGCGGACGCUCUCUCACGCAAACCUGAAUAUUUGGGGGGGAGGGAGCACCCGAAGAGAGACAUGUCAUUCCAGAGGACCGCUGGGUGUGUGGGGCGGCAUUGGUGGGACAAAGAGAACUGGUAGAAGAAACAGAGAAUGAUGAAUACGCCCAGAAUAAGCUCAGAGGUCUUAGGGAUGAGGGAGAGGAAUCAAGGGGUUUCGAGGAAAGAAAUGGAGCUUUGUAUUACAAAGGGGCACUGUAUAUCCCUGAAGGAGACUUAAGGGGAGGGUACUCAAGCAGUUGCAUGACAGCCCCACGGCGGGGCAUUUUGGGCAACACAAAACCAUGUGGUUGGUCACCAGGGAAUUUUGGUGGCCUAAGGUGAGGGAGGAUGUACGUGAGUAUGUAAGAGGGUGCGAGCAGUGCCAGCGAGCCAAAGGGGAAAGGCGAGCGCCGGCGGGGCUAUUAGAACCCUUACCAACACCAGAACGACCUUGGGAGGCAGUGUCGAUAGAUUUUAUGACUGAUCUGCCGAAGUCCAAAGGGAAAACAGCCAUCAUGGUGGUGGUAGACCUACUAACAAAGAUGUGCCACUUUGUAGCUUGCUCGCAUGCAGUCACGGCGGAAGAGACAGCGAAGUUAUUUGUAGAACACAUUUUUAGGUUGCACGGGGUGCCAUUGAGGGUGGUCUCAGACCGAGGAAAACAAUUUACUUCCAGGUUCUGGAGGAAGCUCAUGAGCUUACUGCAGGUGGAGGUCAACUUUCGACUGCCCGGCACCCUGAAACCAACGGGCAGGCGGAAAGAGCAAACGGUGUCCUCCAGCAAUACCUGAGGUGUUAUGUCAAUGACAGAGAGAAUGACUGGGUAGAAAAGUUGGCGCUGGCGGAAUUUGCCUACAACAAUGCCGAGAAUGUGUCCACAGGGAUGAGCCCCUUCUUGGCUAAUUAUGGGUGUCAUCCCAGGGCUUUCCCAGGGGGAGAAGGGGAGAGAUGGAGCGUACCGGCAGCCGAGCAUUUUGUAGAAGAAAUGGAAGCAAUCCACCGUCAGCUCCAACUCAACUUAGAAAGGGCGAAGGAAGAAUACAAGAGGCAGGCAGACAAGAACCGAAGGGAAGGUGAAACCAUAAGGGUUGGAGAUAGGGUGUGGCUGUCAACCCGAGGGUUGCCGUUCAAAGGAGGUUGUAAGAAAUUAAGACCCAGGAGGUUGGGUCCCUUUGAGGUCAUUCAACAGGUCAACCCAGUGGCUUUCAGGCUCCGGUUACCCAACCACAUGAAACUGCACCCAGUAUUUCACAGGUCGUUACUGUCACCGUACGAGGGGGGACGAGAAGGGAUGGCCACUCGGGGACCGGUCAUAG